CCUACGGGAGGCAGCAGUGAGGAAUAUUGGUCAAUGGGCGAGAUCCUGAACCAGCCAAGCCGCGUGAGGGAGGAAGGUACUGUGGGUUGUAAACCUCUUUUGUCAGGGAACAAAUACUGGGACGCGUCCCCGGCUGCGUGUAUCCGAAGCAAAAGCAUCGGCUAACUCCGUGCCAGCAGCCGCGGUAAUACGGGGGAUGCGAGCGUUAUCCGGAUUUAUUGGGUUUACAGGGUGCGUAGGCGGUCUGUUAAGUCAGCGGUAAAAUCGCGGGGCUCAACCCCGGCGCGCCGUUGAAACUGGCAGAGUUGAGUUGGCGAGAAGGACGCGGAAUGCGCGGUGUAGCGGUGAAAUGCAUAGAUAUCGCGCAGAACUCCGAUUGCGAAGGCAGCAUGCCGGCUCCAGACUGACGCUGAGGCACGAAAGCGUGGGGAUCGAACAGGAUUAGAUACCCGAGUAGUC
rnacentral:rRNA from 1 species